rnacentral:ncRNA from 2 species
UACAGAAAAAGGCAAACCUUUUGAAAAAUAGGGACGCAAAGUUUCGGGUCUAAAGUAUGGUAAAUGCCUGCUAUGACGGCUGGGCUGCCUGG